rnacentral:lncRNA from 1 species
CGGCGCGGCUUCCUCCCGCUGCGUCGGCCUCCUGACCCUGGCGCACCUCGGUCCGGGCGCCAAAGCGGUGCCUCGCGAAAGCUGCACAGCCUGCGACGUCCCCAGUUACCUUCCGCAGCCCAGGUUAGACGCGCCCGGCCUCCGGCUCGCCCCAAAACUGGCCUCUGCAUAUUGUAUCUCACGAGACCUUACCCCUCGGAGGUGAAGGCGUAGGAAGAGAAGAUACAUUCCGUCCAAGGAUGGAAGGGAGCGCCGGGCCCCACGGCCCUACUUAUUUAAAGCUGCGACGUGUGCGGGCUGUAUUCGGCGACGAUCCUGGCCACGGUGCACCCCCACAGCUCCUCGGGAGUUUUGUUUUUAUGGACCCCAGAGGAAAGGCUUAGAUAUGGCUGUUGACUGUGCUGGCACCGUCUGUGUUACCCAGUAAGAUUGGAGCUAGGCAUGGUUAGGAAAGCUGAUUGCAGGAAGAGAGUAGGGUAAGAAAUCGACUACUAGAUCUGCUAAUGGUUAGCUGUUCAUUAUUUAUUUAGCACUUAGCCCUAAAUAAUGCAGCCAUAUCUUACCCUUUCGUUGGCAUGGAAUACAGUGUGUGUAAUACACACAAGGUGCAGAGGCAAUUGUGGCCAUACCCAAAGAAACAGCGCCAGCUCUUGCAACGCUAUGUUGAAGGAUGUUAUUAUGAACCCUAUCAUAGACUAGGCCUAUGGCAAGUCAAGUUGGAGUGAAUGUGUCCCAGUUGUUUUCAGAAAAGAGCAGACUAGGUAGAGAGACAAGGAGAACA